GCAUGCUCUUGGGAAGUGAACAUGGAGACUUUGUUUUGUUUUUUGCUAAUUUCCAAAAGAAGCCAGGCUUACACAUAUCCGCUGUAAGUUUCUGUUUCAGUUUGCUAAUUUCAGUCAGAUCUGACAGAGGGGAAGAUGCAUUAAGAAAUGGAUUUUCAUUAAGCUUCUGCAAAAAGGGUGCAAUUAGAGGAACGUAUGGUCUUAAUACUAAAGGAAAAACUAUAGCACAAGCUCAAGUCUUGUUGGACAUCAGAGAAUCUGCAGAGGGAGAAGCUACUCUACAUAAUCUACCCAACAGAAGUGCUUUAGUAACUAAAGUAACUCGUGCUUUACUAGACCGCAUGGAAUUGAUUCUUCCACCAAGAUUCUUCUCAGAGAUGGAUGUGCAGUAG
rnacentral:lncRNA from 14 species